UCAAGUAGAUUUGAAGCUUCCAGAUGCAGAGUUUUGUGCUUUCAUUUUGUUGAAGCUGAUAAUCUUCGGAAAGUUUAGGCCCAGCGAACAAAAUACUUAAGCUGAUAUCAAAGUUGCUUACAAAUGUCUGGAAGAGAACUAUGGAGCAAAGCAGGAGAACAUUAUCAUCUAUCAAUCUAACGGUAGUGGUCCGACCGUCGAUUUAGCUGCACGUUUGCCUCGGAGUGCAGGAGAUUUAUAUUAGUAGUGUAGUAUAACAAAAACUAGACUAAAUAAAAUAUUAAAGAAGAAUAAUUUACAUUAUUUAGGUAUUCUUUAAAAAAAAAAUCAACAACAUAAAUUAUUUACUCAUAGCUAUGAAAAACAUAAUGGCUAGAAAACCAUAAAUAAAUAAAUAUCAUAGUAAAAUAUGAUAUAAAUAUAAUGUCAUAGUAAGAUUUUUUUUUGUCGUCAAUGUGAUAGGAAACUUACCACUAAUAAUAAAAUAAUCAUGUAAAAACAUGUCAAAACAAAUGAAUUGAAAGAUACAAAACUAAAAACAAUAGAAUGACGAACGUGUCAAUAUAUUCAUUAAAUUAUAUAAAAAUAAAAAUACUCAUUAUAACUGUACAACUAUGAAAUUACACAUCUAUUAAUCUAAAAUAAAUCUAUAAUUAGUCCAAACAUAAUGGUUAGAAAACCAUGAAUAAAUAAAUAUCAUAGUAAAAUAUGAUAAAAUAUAAUGUCAUAGUAAGCUUUUUUUGUCGUCAAUGUGAUAGGAAACUUACCAUUGAUAAUAAAAUAAUCAUGUAAAAACAUGUCAAAACAAAUGAAUUCAAAGAUACAAAAUUAAAAACAAUAGAAUGACGAACGUGUCAAUAUAUUCAUUAAACUAUAUAAAAAUAAAAAUACUCAUUGUAAUUGUACAACUAUGAAAUUACACAUCUAUUGACCUAAAAUAAAUCUAUAAUUAAUCCAAACAUAAUGGCUAGAAAACCAUAAAUAAAUAAAUGUCAUAGUAAAAUAUGAUAUAAAUAUAAUGUCAUAGUAAGCUUUUUUUAGGUCAAUGUGAUAGGAAACUUACCACUGAUAAUAAAAUAAUCAUGUCAAAAACAUGUCAAAACAAAUGAAUUGAAAGAUACAAAAUUAAAAACAAUAGAAUGACGAACGUAUCAAUAUAUUCAUUAAACUAUAUAAAAAUAAAAAUACUCAUUAUAACUAUAUAACUAUGAAAUUACACAUCUAUUGACCUAAAAUACAUCUAUAAUUAGUCCAUUAUAAUAAAUUUACAAUUCAAAAUCAGCACCAAAACAAUAUAAAGAACAACGUUGGAAAUUUAGAAACAGAAAUACUUUUGAAGAUAUAGCACAUUAAUUGCAUAAUGCAACCUCUCAAAAAACAAAUUACUAUUUUACUAUUUAGUUGAAACAACUAUAUAUGCCAAUGAACAACGAGAAGAAAGAAUACCCACAACUACAAAACAACAUAACAUAAUCACAGUUUGCUAGAAAUCCGUAUCUACCAUCAAAUGUAACAUCUCCUAACAACAUCAUAUGAAGCAGGUAAAAGAAUAGACACAUACGAUGUAAGAGCUUAUUUAGAGAUACCGGUGAUUCCAUGAUUACAAAUAAUUUUGAAUUCAUUAGAAAAUAAAACAUACGAACCCGGCGCGUAGCGUCGGAAUACCACUAGUUUUUUAUAUUUUUAAGAAACAUUAAAUAAAAAUAUUUGAAUUGAUUAAAUUUCAUUAGUGAAAGUUAUUAGAAAAUGUGUAAUAAAGUAAAAAAAAUUAAAUUAUAAACAUUUAUUGAAUUCUUAAUAAACGUGAACACUUUUAGAAAAUCUUACUUUCAGAAACAGAUGAAGUAUGGAUUUAGGAAUCAUAACCUCGGUAUUAUUUGUUUUUUUUUUUUGAAAUUCUUUUGGUUAGUCUACUGCUAAUAUUGUUCAAAUAUGGUUGUCAUUCAAGAAUUCAAAUAUUUUUUAAUUAUUAUUUUGAUUUUUAGCUCAUUAUUUGAUAACUCUAAUUUUAAAUUUGUUUGUGGCCUUCUAUUCUACAAAAAAGUAAAAAAGCAAUUGAAUAAAAUUAGUUUUAAUAAAACUACAGACGCAUAACAUACAAAUUAUAAUCGGUCAUAAAAAACUAAAUACACAACAUUACAUAGAAAAGUAAAAAGUGAAAUGAUAUAAUUUGAAAAAGAAUAAACGUUGAAAAAAACAAAAAGUUAAAAUGAAAAAAAGGUGCAGAGAACAUCAAGAACAAUACCAUAAGAAUUAUUAGUAAGUAUACUCAUAUAUACAUGAAAUUUAAUAUAUAUAUAUAUAUAUAUACACGCAACUCAACAAAUAAAUCCGUAAAAACAUGACAAUUGAUUUCAACAUUGCAUAGGGCACAAUCUAUAGGAAACUCAACAAAUAAAUUAAUAAAACAUCAACCAAUUAUAAACUUUCUAACAUAGUAUGGGGCAUGUGCCCCAUUCACCUUGCCUGUAGAUCCGCCCCUGCAAAAAUGCAUAACUACAAUGUUAUAAAAGUAUCUCAAAUCCACUUAUAUAUUUUCUUUUAUAAGAGCAUUUAGAGAUAAAACUACUCCAUCUCAUCUCUAUUUCUUUUUUUUUUGUAAAUAGAUAUUGUUAUUUUUAUUUCUAUUCACAAAGGAAAAAAUAACAUUUUUUGUAUUUUUACUCUAUAUUUUGAGAUUAUUAUUUUAGAAAAGUACAUUGAACCAGAUUACAUCUCUAUUAUAGAUGAAAAAAUGGCAAAUACAUUAGAAUUGGUUUAAUGUAAUACUUUUAUUUAUUAAUAUCACUUUUGUAAUAAAAGUAUAUGCUUAAGUAUCUUAACUUCUAAAAUAUUAUUAUCAUAUAAAAACGGCCUGCCAUCUUGCGGUGUGACGGCGGUCUCGCUUUCCUCUUCUGUGGCUUUACGCAUUCCGUUUCAUUUCAGUCGAGUAACUACCUGGUUUAGAACUGGUUUUAAACUGGUUUUGGUCUACGUCCUAUAGUUUUCAAUUUUGGUUUAUUAUUCAAAUAGUCUCAAAGCAUUUUUUUGUUCCUAAACUAGCAUAUGACCAAAAUAAGUUUCAUUAAAUGAAAAAAAAGUUUCAUUAAAUGGAUAAAUAUUAAGUAUACCAUUUCUUACAGAUAUAUUAAUUAAAGAAAUAUUUAAAUAUAUUUUUUUGAUUUUUUACUUUUUUUAAAUGACGAUCUUUCAUAAAAAGAAAGUUUAGAAAAAAAUCAUAAAUAUUUAUGAUAACUUCAUAAAUUUGAGUUAUAUAAAUAUUUAGGAUAACAUUGCUGAAUAAGUAUGAUAUCCUCUUAAAAUUUAAGAAGAUAUUGAUAAAUAUAUAUAAUAUCUUCACAAAAAUUUGAAAACUUUCAGAAUUAUAUUUUAAAAUAUUUUUUGUACAUUUAAGAAGAAUAUAUAUAUAUAUAUAUAUGAAUAUCAUAUAUAUAUAUAUAUAUAUAUAUGAAUAUCAUACAGAAUUUGACUUAUAUGUAUAUUUAGUAAGAUACUAUUGAAUAUUUAUAACAUCUUUCUAUAGUUUUUUUGUCGGUUUUCUACUUUGCUAGUUCACUUGGAAGCGUGGUAGCAGACCAUUUCGGGGAGCGUAUCCACCCGCCUCUUUCUGACUUAUGUGAGAGAAAAGAGAAUCUCUCGAACGAGCCACUUUCGCAAGUGAGUCGAAUCUAAUAUCUCGUGAUCUAGGUGGGAUAUAAACCAAAAACCUUGUAAACCAGCGCCGUAUAAGCUCUCAAAAAUCGUCAACUCAGAGGAAAAAGGCUGGGCAACCUAUUGGGUUAUGGAUCAUCUCUAACAGAUCCAAGAAAUCCAUUUUAAAUCUCGUUGAUGUAAUCCCUAAAUACUUUAAAUAAGGCACAAAAAGCAGUCCAACUCCGCAUGGAGUGAUGAUAACCUUUUCCUACAGCCUUUGAGACCAAAAUACUCUUGUGCUUAAAAUCGUCAUUUUUAAAGUGUUUUAAUAUUGAAAGUUUUGUUCAAAAUUUAAAAGAUUAGAUUUUGAUUUGAACAUUUCAAAACUCCGACCUAAUGCCUUCUAAUACUUUUAGUAACCGGAAAAUCAAAAUAAGCUCUUGAAAAAUACAUCUACACCAUUAGAAAAUAUAAUCUAACAGAUAUGACUUUAAGAGAAAUCAAAGUUGAAAUCCACACCAAAAUUAGAUUAGGAAUUGCUAAUACAUUGAUAAUAGAAUGAUUGUUCCACAUUUUUAACAAUUGAAGUGAUUUUCCGCAUCACAACAAGCUACAAUCACGUCCAUUGCCUACACGGUUAUUUUUUCUAGAUAGAGAUAAAUCAUUUUAUUUGGUUAAAUCUAUUUUGGAAAAGACCCCUUAAAAGAAAUUUACUUUACAACCUGUCGAACAAUCUACGAUAACUAUUACAGCGAAAAUCAGAGCAAAAUAAAUAUCUCGACUAAAAAUGCUGGAGGAAAACAAAGUAUCGCCGAAAACUUUGGAAAAACAACCAGCGUAAAGCUAGAAUACGAAAAACAAAGAAAAUGAGACUAUACGGAAAAUAUUCAAGCAGUGCUAAAAACCAUCAGCGUGCACAUGUCCUCAAAAUGUUUCUAGACCAUAGGGCAAAAAUAUUGGAUCCUUCAAAUUUAUAUUUAUUAAAAAAUUUACCUUAUAAAUAUUUGUGACUACAGUUUAUAACAAAAAAUACAUAUAAAAAGAUUGGGACUUCAUAAUUUACCUUCCUAAUUACUCAUUCUAUUUCAUUUUAAUUGACGUUUUAAAAUUUUAGUUCUAUUUUAUAUAAAUGACGCUUUCAUAUUUCUAUGGAAAACUUUAAUGUUGUUUAGUGUUUUAACUAAUUAUAUUCUACUAGGUUAAAAUCUGCGCCUUGCGCGGAAUGAACAUUGUAUAUAUAUAUAUAUAUAUAUAUAUAUUGGAUAAUUAAAAAUUCAAUAACUAUGACAUAUAAUUAAAUUGGUGUGAAUAUGUAAAUAAAUUUUAUUAAUCAAAAAAAAUAUUGUUUUUUAAUUUUAUAUCGCAUAUAGUUAAAUUUAAAUAAUAUACACAUACAUAUAUAUAUAUAGAGUAUAUUUUUAUAUUGAUAUGUGUUCUACUCAUUUGGGUUUUUCGAUGAUUUGUAUCCUUUUAUAUCAAAAAACUUUAAAUCACUGAUAACAAAAAUUUCAUUUUGUGAUGUUUAAAAGUUUAGUAAUUUGUAAUUUUUAAAAACAUUCAAUGAAAAAUUUAAAAUUUAAAUAUUAAGUUAUCAGUAUUUGUUCAAAACUUUUAUCAAAAAAAUGUUCAAAGCAAUAUAAAAUUGUUCAAAGCAAAUUUAAAAAUUGAUUAAAAUUUCUAUGGUAUAUAGUUUAAUUUAAAAGAUAUAUAUAUAUUUUUUUUUUUAAUCUUAAUAUUAAUAGAUGAGACUUCUUAAUUAUAUGAUUUUGUAAUCAUUUGUAUCUUGUUAUAAAAAAAAUUUAAACUAUGGAUCAUAAAAAAUUCAAUGUGAGACAUUUAAAAUAUAUAUAUAUAACAUAUACUAAUUUAAAGUUAAACAAAAAAUGAUAGAGGGGUAUACUAAUUUGUAUUAAAUCUUUAUUAUUCAAAAUCAUUAAUUGUGAUAUAUUGAAAACAAAAAUCAUUAAUCUUUAUUAUUCAAAAUUAUUUAAUGAAAGAAUUGAAAAAAUUAAUAAUUAAUUUAUAGCUAGCUUAAUAAAAAGCUUAUUACAUAUUUAUAUGGACCAACAUAUUUCUCUAAUGAUUAUAAGAAUCAUUAUGGUGAUGACACAUGGCUAC